rnacentral:tRNA from 1 species
UAGCCUAGUGGUUAGGGCUAUGAAUUGCCAAUCCGGAAACGGCGGGUUCGAUUCCCGU